GACGAACGCUGGCGGCGUGCUUAACACAUGCAAGUCGAACGGUAAGGCUCCAGCUUGCUGGGGUACACGAGUGGCGAACGGGUGAGUAACACGUGGGUGACCUGCCCUGCACUUCGGGAUAAGCCUGGGAAACUGGGUCUAAUAACGGAUAGGACCAUGGUGUGGAUACUGUGGUGGAAAGUUUUUUCGGUGUGGGAUGGGCCCGCGGCCUAUCAGCUUGUUGGUGGGGUAAUGGCCCACCAAGGCGGCGACGGGUAGCCGGCCUGAGAGGGUGAACGGCCACAUUGGGACUGAGACACGGCCCAGACUCCUACGGGAGGCAGCAGUGGGGAAUAUUGCACAAUGGGCGGAAGCCUGAUGCAGCGACGCCGCGUGGGGGAUGACGGCCUUCGGGUUGUAAACUCCUUUCACCAUCGACGAAGGGUUUCUGACGGUAGAUGGAGAAGAAGCACCGGCUAACUACGUG
rnacentral:rRNA from 1 species